rnacentral:lncRNA from 1 species
CUGUAUAACAUUCCUAUGAUAAUAUCUCUUGCUUAACUUAAAGAUAAAUAAUAUUUGACUUAUUUCAGAUGUGGCAGGAGUUGGACAGGAGUAUAACUAGAGAACUAAGAGAAGCUGCUGCUGAAUUUGAAUCUGAGUCCUAUGGAUUGUCUCCUCUAGGAGCUACAGAUGGGUCAAAUCUGUCUCAGGACCUGCUUUUGAAAACAUCACAAGAAUGUGUACAGAUUUUGAAGAAAAAAAAAUAUAUGAUCUGAAAGAUAAAUAGUAAAAAUUUCCCCUCUUUUCUGUUUUCAUGACAUUUUAGUUGUUUCUCAUUAAACAUGAUGAGAAAAUCUUUAUAAAAGGGAAAUACUUUUGUGUGUAUGAUGAAAAUUUAUAUGGUAUUUUAAAAAUACUACUUUUAAGUAGUAUUAAUACUACUUUUAAACAGUAGUAUCCAAGUACUUUUGGUACUAAGUAUUUUCUCUGCAGCUAACUUAAGCAAUUUAAAAACCAGCACUGUUAAGUUUUCCAUAUUCAAAUUGAAAGUGUUAGUCACUCAGUCGUGUCUGACUCUGCGACCAAUGGACUGCAGCCCACCAGCCUCCUCUGUCCUCCACUAUCUUGUGGGGUUAGCUCAAGUUCAUGCCCAUUGAGUUGGUGAUGCUAUCCAAUCCUCUCGUCCUCUGUUGUCCCCUUUCUCCUCCUGCCUUCCAUCUUUCCCAGCAUAAGAGUCUUUUCUGAUGAGUCAGCUCUUCACAUCAAGUGGCUGAAGUAUUGGAGCUUCAGCCUCAACAUCAGUCCUUCCAAUGAGUAUUCAGGAUUGAUUUCCUUUAGGAUUGACUGGUUUAAUCUCCUUGCAGUCCAAAGACUCUUGAGAGUCUACUCCCAACACCACAGUUCAAAAGCAUUAAUUCUUUGGCAGUCAGCCUUCUUUAUUGUAUAACUCUCAUAUCCAUACAUGACUACUAGAAAAUAGUGUAUAUAUGUUAACCCCAAUCUCCUAAUUUGUCCUUCCCCUCAUGUUUCCCCUUUCAUAACCAUAAUUUGAUUUUCAUAUAUUUU